rnacentral:rRNA from 1 species
GGGUUGUGAGGUUAAGCGACUAAGCGUACACGGUGGAUGCCCUGGCAGUCAGAGGCGAUGAAGGACGUGCUAAUCUGCGAAAAGCGUCGGUAAGGUGAUAUGAACCGUUAUAGCCGGCGAUGUCCGAAUGGGGAAACCCAGUGCAAUUCGUUGCACUAUCGUUAACUGAAUACAUAGGUUAACGAGGCGAACCGGGGGAACUGAAACAUCUAAGUACCCCGAGGAAAAGAAAUCAACCGAGAUUCCCCCAGUAGCGGCGAGCGAACGGGGAGCAGCCCAGAGUCUGAAUCAGCUUGUGUGUUAGUGGAACGGUCUGGAAAGUCCGACGGUACAGGGUGAUAGUCCCGUACACCAAAAUGCACAGGUUGUGAACUCGAAGAGUAGGGCGGGACACGUGGUAUCCUGUCUGAAUAUGGGGGGACCAUCCUCCAAGGCUAAAUACUCCUGACUGACCGAUAGUGAACCAGUACCGUGAGGGAAAGGCGAAAAGAACCCCGGCGAGGGGAGUGAAAAAGAACCUGAAACCGUGUACGUACAAGCAGUGGGAGCACCUUCGGGUGUGACUGCGUACCUUUUGUAUAAUGGGUCAGCGACUUAUAUUCUGUAGCAAGGUUAACCGUAUAGGGGAGCCGCAGGGAAACCGAGUCUUAACUGGGCGUUAAGUUGCAGGGUAUAGACCCGAAACCCGGUGAUCUAGCCAUGGGCAGGUUGAAGGUUGGGUAACACUAACUGGAGGACCGAACCGACUAAUGUUGAAAAAUUAGCGGAUGACUUGUGGCUGGGGGUGAAAGGCCAAUCAAACCGGGAGAUAGCUGGUUCUCCCCGAAAGCUAUUUAGGUAGCGCCUCGUGAAUUCAUCUUCGGGGGUAGAGCACUGUUUCGGCUAGGGGGUCAUCCCGACUUACCAACCCGAUGCAAACUACGAAUACCGAAGAAUGUUAUCACGGGAGACACACGGCGGGUGCUAACGUCCGUCGUGAAGAGGGAAACAACCCAGACCGCCAGCUAAGGUCCCAAAGUCAUGGUUAAGUGGGAAACGAUGUGGGAAGGCACAGACAGCCAGGAUGUUGGCUUAGAAGCAGCCAUCAUUUAAAGAAAGCGUAAUAGCUCACUGGUCGAGUCGGCCUGCGCGGAAGAUGUAACGGGGCUAAACCAUGCACCGAAGCUGCGGCAGCGACACUAUGUGUUGUUGGGUAGGGGAGCGUUCUGUAAGCCUGCGAAGGUGUGCUGUGAGGCAUGCUGGAGGUAUCAGAAGUGCGAAUGCUGACAUAAGUAACGAUAAAGCGGGUGAAAAGCCCGCUCGCCGGAAGACCAAGGGUUCCUGUCCAACGUUAAUCGGGGCAGGGUGAGUCGACCCCUAAGGCGAGGCCGAAAGGCGUAGUCGAUGGGAAACAGGUUAAUAUUCCUGUACUUGGUGUUACUGCGAAGGGGGGACGGAGAAGGCUAUGUUAGCCGGGCGACGGUUGUCCCGGUUUAAGCAUGUAGGCUGGUUGUCCAGGCAAAUCCGGAUAAUCAAGGCUGAGGUGUGAUGACGAGGCACUACGGUGCUGAAGUAACAAAUGCCCUGCUUCCAGGAAAAGCCUCUAAGCAUCAGGUAACAUUAAAUCGUACCCCAAACCGACACAGGUGGUCAGGUAGAGAAUACCAAGGCGCUUGAGAGAACUCGGGUGAAGGAACUAGGCAAAAUGGUGCCGUAACUUCGGGAGAAGGCACGCUGGUGUGUAGGUGAAGUCCCUGCGGAUGGAGCUGAGACCAGUCGAAGAUACCAGCUGGCUGCAACUGUUUAUUAAAAACACAGCACUGUGCAAACACGAAAGUGGACGUAUACGGUGUGACGCCUGCCCGGUGCCGGAAGGUUAAUUGAUGGGGUUAUCCGUAAGGAGAAGCUCUUGAUCGAAGCCCCGGUAAACGGCGGCCGUAACUAUAACGGUCCUAAGGUAGCGAAAUUCCUUGUCGGGUAAGUUCCGACCUGCACGAAUGGCGUAAUGAUGGCCAGGCUGUCUCCACCCGAGACUCAGUGAAAUUGAACUCGCUGUGAAGAUGCAGUGUACCCGCGGCAAGACGGAAAGACCCCGUGAACCUUUACUAUAGCUUGACACUGAACAUUGAGCCUUGAUGUGUAGGAUAGGUGGGAGGCUUUGAAGCGUGGACGCCAGUCUGCGUGGAGCCAACCUUGAAAUACCACCCUUUAAUGUUUGAUGUUCUAACGUUGGCCCCUUACCGGGGUUGCGGACAGUGUCUGGUGGGUAGUUUGACUGGGGCGGUCUCCUCCCAAAGCGUAACGGAGGAGCACGAAGGUUAGCUAAUCCUGGUCGGACAUCAGGAGGUUAGUGCAAUGGCAUAAGCUAGCUUGACUGCGAGCGUGACGGCGCGAGCAGGUGCGAAAGCAGGUCAUAGUGAUCCGGUGGUUCUGAAUGGAAGGGCCAUCGCUCAACGGAUAAAAGGUACUCCGGGGAUAACAGGCUGAUACCGCCCAAGAGUUCAUAUCGACGGCGGUGUUUGGCACCUCGAUGUCGGCUCAUCACAUCCUGGGGCUGAAGUAGGUCCCAAGGGUAUGGCUGUUCGCCAUUUAAAGUGGUACGCGAGCUGGGUUUAGAACGUCGUGAGACAGUUCGGUCCCUAUCUGCCGUGGGCGCUGGAGAAUUGAGGGGGGCUGCUCCUAGUACGAGAGGACCGGAGUGGACGCAUCACUGGUGUUCGGGUUGUCAUGCCAAUGGCACUGCCCGGUAGCUAAAUGCGGAAGAGAUAAGUGCUGAAAGCAUCUAAGCACGAAACUUGCCCCGAGAUGAGUUCUCCCUGAGACUUUAAGUCUCCUGAAGGAACGUUGAAGACGACGACGUUGAUAGGCCGGGUGUGUAAGCGCAGCGAUGCGUUGAGCUAACCGGUACUAAUGAACCGUGAGGCUUAACCUUACAACGCCGAAG